GAUGAACGCUGGCGGCAUGCCUAAUACAUGCAAGUCGAACGAGAGGAAGGAAAGCUUGCUUUUCUGAAUCUAGUGGCGAACGGGGGAGUAACACGUAGGUAACCUGCCCAUGUGCCCGGGAUAACUUCUGGAAACGGAUGCUAAAACCGGAUAGGUAGCAGACAAGCAUUUGACUGCUAUUAAAGUGGCUAAGGCCAUGAACAUGGAUGGACCUGCGGUGCAUUAGCUAGGUGGUGAGGUAACGGCCAACCAAGGCGACGAUGCCUAGACGGCCAGAGAGGGCGGACGGCCACAUUGGGACUGAGACACGGACCAAACUCCUACGGGAGGCAGCAGUAGGGAAUUUUCGUCAAUGGGGGGAACCCUGAACGAGCAAUGCCGCGUGAGUGAGGAAGGUCUUCGGAUCGUAAAGCUCUGUUGUAAGAGAAAAACGACAUUCAUAGGGAAUGAUGAGUGAGUGAUGGUAUCUUACCAGAAAGUCACGGCUAACUACGUGCCAGCCGCCGCCGUAACAC
rnacentral:rRNA from 1 species